UCCUCGGUAGCUCAAUGGUAGAGCACGCGGCUGUUAACCGCGCUGUUGUAGGUUCGAGUCCUACCCGAGGAGCCA
rnacentral:tRNA from 1 species